AAAGAAUUCUUCAUAAUAAUUUUAUAUAAAUAUUACUUAUGACACUCACUGAAAAAGAAAAAAAUUUUCAUUAUAUUUUCCUCCAUCCCACAAAAAAAUUAAAAAAAAAUGUGAAUUCAAUAUUUAUUUAUUUGUACUUUUUGUGUUAAAAUCUUAAUUAUUUCAUUUUGAAGAGUCACAAAAUAAACAAAUUUUGGUUACAAAAAUGACCAUUCAAAAAUGAAGAAACACCAUGCACAGAAGAAUUAUUACUUAUAGAUAAAAAUUCAAGCUCAACAUUUCCUUUUCAUGUGAAAAUAUAAUUUAUUCUUUUUUCUGAAAAGUUCUAGAAUGCAAAAAAUUUUGUUAAACAAGGAAUGUUUAAAGAGGAUA
rnacentral:lncRNA from 1 species